UAUGCUAAAAUAUGAUUUUCGCCUUUUAAACAUAAUUUUACAUACAGACAUUGAUUAUUAUUCGACCGAGAAGAAAAUAAACUCGUUAUGAUUGUACCUGCGACUAUUUUCAUUAAUGGAAAUUGUCCGAAAGCAUCUAAUGCUGGCAUGAUCGCUGUAACGUCUGCUCAAAAAUUUCGCCAAUUCUUCACGACACUCCCAUAAGUCUGCUGUGAUGCCAUAUUGAAACAGAUAAUACUUUCCUUCUUUCUUUUCUUCUUUCUACAACGAAAUAUAUUUUAACGUAUAUUAACAAUAAAAUAUUUGUAUAUUAACAAUAAAAUGUAUUAAAACGUGUAAUGUAGUA